UAAACUGCUAUUCCUGAAGUCGAUGUAACUGCUGGCAUUCUGGCACAUGUGCUGGAGACACGAUCAUAAGCCCAUGGGACACGAGAGCCUCAGCAAGUACACAUGGCUGUAAGUUGUUGAAAAUAGUUUACUUUUGACAGCUGCAAGUCACCGUAAGCGAGUCUGUGUGUGACUAAGUGUUCAUGGGAUAAAUACCUAAAGAGGUGAAUGACUAUUCAUUGAUUUUAUUUGAGUCACUCAGCCUGGUCCUCUGAAAUAUGCUCAGAUUGCUGCCGUGAGGCUAUCUAUAGUCUGGCAAAAUCCGAAGAGUCUGGAGCCUGCGUUGAGAGCUCCCAUUAAAGAAGCUCAAUUAAUACUUAGACCAUGGACUUCCAAAGGGACUGAUUUUUCUGCCUCAGCGACACACUUCCUGCGGGAGCAAGAACGGUGAGUCAUGUUGAGGGCAAGGAGUCACUGAGGUUGUACCCUGUGGAUGCUCAUGUGCCUUCAGAAUUCUUGGAACUAUUCAAUUAAUCUAAGGUUUAGAUGUUGCCUUAGUGUUCCUAGUGCUGUGGAAAAACACCAUGACCAAAAACAGCUUGGGGCGGAAAGGGUUUAGUCUCCAUUCUGCUUCUGCAGUCCAUUGCUGAGGGAAUGAGAGAUCAGGGCAGGAACUCAAACAGGGUAGAGGCCUGGUGCCCGGAACUGAUGCAGAAGCCAUGGAAGAACACUGCUUACUGGCCUGAAUGGCUUAAACGACUUACUUGGUUUGCUUUCUUAUAGUAUUUGGGACCAUCUGCCCAGUACACCACUUACAGUGUACUAGGCUUCCCAUAUCAAUCAAGAAAAUGCCCCACAGACUUAUUUACAGAUCAGUAGAAACUGGUAAAUUGGAGAAGGGAAUAAGACACUUCCCUGAAUAGAAGGAACUCAGCACACCAAAGCAGGCAACAUGAGGGAAGAUUUCUCCAGAUGGAUACAGCACAGAUGCCUUGACCCCUCUAUACCUCAAGCUUAAUGUGAUUCCCAAGACUGCAUGUCAUAUGUGUAGGGCCUUGCGGAGGCCUUUGGUUGGUACCAGAGUAGUUAGCCUAAGAAUGGGUGUG
rnacentral:lncRNA from 1 species